AUCCUGUUGUGGUUCUUAGGAGUGAUGACUGGGUUUUCAUGCUCAUGUGUGACAUGUGCCUCCCUCAAACCUUGUUACAAAAUGGACACAUUAACUGUCUGAGG